GGAGGAAUGGGUGAUCCGGCGGCAACAUCUGUCACUCCAUUGAUAACCAGUGGUGACUCAGCCAAUCUGUCAUGCUGUUGAUAACCAGUGGUGACUCAGCUAAUCUGGUGGCUAUGCAGGUGUCCCCUUCUUCUCUCACCGUUCCAUGUGUGUCCCUCCCAACUGAAGAGGAUGACCUUCUCCAACUAGAGGAGGACCUUUCUUGGUCAAGGGUAUACAAGUGCCUGCACUCCUCUGAUAAGACUUCCAAACACACUCUCGAGGUCCAAUGCUUGCCUAGUGUAAAUCAGGAGGUGGGGGGUU
rnacentral:snRNA from 1 species